ACGAGUACUUUCGGACCCUAACAUUACGCGUGGCCCAGAAUGCACUUGACCUUAUACUCUUAUACAGGACACAGGAAUUUCCUAGUUCAGGUGCCAGCCCACCAUAAUCACUAGUUGCACGCAUACUUUUCAUUAUUUUUAUAUUAACACAUAGCAUUAAUAUUAAUUAGUAUACACUGUAAUUUUUUACUGAUUAUGGUGAGUAAAUAGUAGUCUAACAGUUUUGAUUUUUAUGUGAACGCUGUAGUGAACUUGCAUAUAUUAUUCUUAUAUCUGGGGGCCGGAAAGAUUUGAAUACAAAGGAGUUUCAAAGUCCAUUCCGCUGGGUUAUUUUUUAUCUUUUUUGAUCUAUGCAAAAAGUCCAUUAUACAUAGGUAUGUAUGGCGCGGGGCCCUUCUAAAUCUAUGUACAUGCCCCGCGCCAUCUAUUAGGUAGUUCGGUGCGAAAUAAAGGUUUGUUUGCCAUAUUCUCUGUGGUUGGUUCCUUUGCUCAUACAAUAAGGCAUAUUUCUGUGCCAUUGUCUCUAACUUCUUUUGACACGGGUAAAAAAAAAAUUAUUUCAACACGAUGUUCAAAAUAUUUAUUUAGUUUUGUUUAGGCUAAAGGUUGGAGCCAUCAAAUUAUAAAGUGAAGUGAAUAUUUCUCGUGCAUAGUUAUUAGUACAAAAUGAUUUUUGAAAUUCUGCCCGAUGUCAAAUCUUGCUUCGGUUAUGUACCUUUAAGAUUAGCAGUUGUAUUCAUUGGGAUAUUUUUUAUAUUGGUAAGUCCAGAUUGCUGAAUGCCAAAAUAUAUUUUAUCAAUAAGCAUGUGCUUUAUCAUUAAUUAGAAAAUGGUGGGUCAUGGCUCAUUCUACUUAUCUAUCUAUAAAGAAACCCAGUGCUCCGACAGAGGCGACGAUUAAAUGACAGAUGAUGUUGAAGGACAUCAAGGCUGCCAAGUUAGGUCCCCGUAAGGACCUGUGUGAUAACAAUAAGGGCUUCGAGCGGUAGAAGUAGAAGCCCACCAGCUGAAUCCAUCUUCGCAACGCACUGACUGGACAGCAUCGGCUGUUGCGUUCCGUUUACACUGGUCUGCGAAGUCCAACUUCACUCUUUAGGUCGAGCGGUAAACUUUUCGCGAUAGAGUGAACUUCAAUUUAUUUGUGGUAAAGAUGCCAUCUUUUGGAGGAGUUUAUGAAGGAGGAUUUCUGGGAGUCUGUUUCGGAGGUUCGACGGACGACUGCCUGCUCACUUCGCGUGCUACACGUUGCUGAUUUUACGUGUGACCUAGUUUGAAGUAUAUUUUGUAUAUGUCUGUAAGAUGCAAUUUUUUAUAGAAUACGUAGAUUAUUGGAUAAGAACAUGCUACGAUUCUACUAGGGAAGAAGAGUGCCCGUACGCAGAAUCGCUGUCGAAUUUCCAGUACUUGGAGAUUGCCGAGUCGUUUGUUCAAUUUUUUCCUAGUGUAUUUUUACUUGUUGCCGUUUAUAUUAAGCAUCGGAUGUUGAUUUCAAUGUUCCUGUAUUUAUCUCUCGUCUGUAUGUUGAUAGAUGUGACGAUAGACUUAACAGCAUUGACAAUAAACAUUAUAUCACCUGAGUGCAGGACUACAGAUGUUGUCCUCGCUAUCGGAUGUAUUACUUAUCAAACUUUACUGUACAUGUUUAUUUUUUACUUGUUAAUUGUUGUGAAAAGCUAUAGAUCAACAAUAAUAUCCAUCCAGUCUAAUGUACAAGGCAGACGUGGACGAUAUGAAGAAUCAACGAGCAAAGACGUUGAGAAUAUAUCUAAAUAUGGAAGACUUAAGGUAACUAGAAGAAAUCCUAACAUUUCGAAUACGAAACCUCGCCCACUUCUUCUUGAUGCGAACAAUACUGCUGACACAGAUAACACUUCCAAAUAUACUGCUAAAUCUAGUAAAAGUGUGAGGACUACUGAGAUAGAGAAGGAGAUGGAGCAAUCGAAAGAGGUGAAACAGGUGUCAGAAACGAAGGAGGAAGAAGAAGAAGAUAAAGAGGAGAAUGGGGAGAAAAAAAUAUAAUUCUCCGAAAUGAAGACACACACAUCAAUCACAUCAUGUUAUCCUGCCUGAACCUCUAAGACGCUAUAAUAGUGGAGUUUGCAAUGAAUUUAGGUAGGUUGUAGUGCUGUUGACUGUACAACCUGAUUCGGGUUUUCGAAACAGUCUAUAUUUUUUAUGCAUCAGUUUACACGUGUUUUGCAAAUAAAAUAUAUUUUUAUAUUGACGUUAAACAUAAGCAGAUAAUUUCUCUUUUGAUUUCCCACUAGUUUCGUUAGUAGGUAUGUUAAAACUGGGCAACUGUCAAUAUUUUCAUAGUAUCAUAGGACUAGGAAAUGUCACCAUAAAUGCUCUGUAGGUACUUAGUAUAAAAGUAAAAAGUAGAAUUUGUGUGACUUCAGUAGCAAAUAUAGGAUAUUGAUACGUGAGGACGUAUUAACAUUUAAACUUUCACAUUUCUAAUAUUAGUGGGAAGUAGGGAUAUUAAUGUUGAUUAGAGUCGAUAUUAUAAGUGUGCGGGCUUCGCAUUUGACGUCAUAUUUAAAAUUACUAUCAAUAACACAAAAAUGGUAAGCUAUUCUCAUCACUUAUCUAUUUCUGCUACCUAAAAGUAGUGCGGGCAUUAUUGUUUUCCGGUUUGAAGGGUGAGAGAGGCAGUUGUAAUUACAGGGUACUGUGGCAAAAGAUCCUAGGCCACAAAGUAGGCAACGUGUGUGUACCACUUACCAUCAAGUAAGCCGAUAUUUUAUAUAUUAUAUCCAAUAUUUUAUCUGAUUUUGCAUGACAUGAUGGAGUAAUGUAGUAGAUAAACGCUAUAAGACUCGGGCUGUGUUAUCCAUUCACCGAAUUGUUUUUAUAUUAAACAGGCUAGGUGUGGCACAUACUAAUCUCCGAAGGUUUUAGAGCGCGAAUGCACCGAAACAAAGACCAGAACUAGAAUAUUCUAAACGAGCUUUUGCAAGAAGGGCUCUUGUGAAACGGCUAGCUGUACAACAACGGAGAUAUCCAUGUCCACAGCUACUAAUUUAAUAAUGGGAAUGGGUGAGUGUGUUUGUUAGUCCUUUCAGGUCAAAGCGGAGCAGAGGUGAUUUAUGGUGCAGAGAAAUUUGGCGAUCAGAGAGAUACGCCACGGGCAACGCUAAUCCUUUUGAAGUUUUAAGUAAUUUAUUAUGUUGUAAGAUAUUUAUAAUUUGGUUGAUUGUUAAUCUAUAUCAAAAGUGUAAGUGAGUAUAGAUAGAUAGAAUAUGAGUAGAAAAUAUACUUUUUAAGUCUGAUUAGCAUCUUCUGUGUGCAUAGGUAUUGGGGUAAUCUGUGGUAUAGGUAUCGUUACAUUUGUCUGUACAAUAAAAUUUCUCUAAUACUUUGACUCUUUACCAAAAAUUGUUCGGCCACGCGAACGAAGUCACAGGCAUCAGCUAGUUGACAAUAAUAAAUAAUGAGCGGUCGCGCGAAAUAAAGCUAGUCAAUCAUAUUUUUGAUGGUACGAGUAGAAAAAAAUCGACAAGGCGAAUGGAAUUUCGAGAGCAAAGUUCCGGAAUUGAUUUCCGGAAAUCCUAGUAGCGGGAUAAAAUAAAGAAGUCAGAUGUAGAUAAUGAAUCUGCUUUUUAUUCUUUGGUAGUUAUUGAGAUGUAGUUAGAGCAUAAUAAAUCCUUAUUUCACAAGGUCUCUGCGGCAGGUACUAAAAGUAUUGGAAUUCAUCAAGAUGUUUGGGUGUUUGGAUCCCCAAAUGGAGUGGAUAUUUCACCUAAAGUACGCAAGGCAGAAUAGAACAUUGAAAUUUAUGAGUGACCCGGCGGACAACGUAUGGAAGUGGCUCUAGCGCCAUACGAGUAGUGCUUUAAGAUAUAUGAAAUGCAUUGGGAAUAUUUUGGGAGUUUAACGGGUUGGAUAAAUAUAUUUAAGACUACCUUUUUCCUGUAGCUUGGUCCGCAUUUAUUUCGUCCGUCCGCUCUUAACCAUAUUAUUGCCAAUAUCUUGGUUUGGUAACAGUGAUUGAGUUUGACCGCUAUACAACUGUGAAAAUCGCAUUAAAUUCAAUCUAGUAGUUUUUUUGUGAUGCGCUAACAAGAAGCAGACAGAAAGAUAGACAGACAAAAAUUAAAAAAAAAGUGUUUCGGCUUCUUUAGUCCCAUAAAGACGCCCCGUAAUUAUUUUUCUUUAAUAUAUCCUAUGUACAGGCAUCGCCCAAUUACAAUGUAUUAUAUGUAUAGAUAUAGAUGUUGUGCAUAUGGCGAUAGCUUUAUAUUGUAAAAGUAUGUAGACACAGUAUAUAUUUCAGAAAUAAAUUAACCUCAAAAA